rnacentral:rRNA from 1 species
AAUUGGCUCGUGGUUAAAAAGGUCGAAGGAAGAAAUUCAUUCGCGUUUCGACGCAGGCGUCGGACGGUCGAGUGACGCGAAACGUUCGCGUUUUGCGCACCCUCCGUUCGUCGAACCGGCGACGAACGCGUGCACUUUUCUUCUGGUAGGACGUCGCGAUCCGUUGGGCGUCAGUCUACGACGUGCGAUGGAGCCCGUCGGUCGCGUUUCGGCGCGACUAACGAACUCGCACGCUCCGGCUGACUCGCUCGACGGUAUACGAAAGGUUUGAGGCCGCUCUAGCGAGCGUUCGACUCUCGGCAAGCGCGCCAGACGCGUCGGCGAUCGGACCUAGUGCCGAUUCCGACCUCUGGUGACUGUUGGCCGUUGAUGUUCUCGAACAGACCUCACGACCGAUCUGCGACGCUAUAGCUUUGGGUACUUUCAGGACCCGUCUUGAAACACGGACCAAGGAGUCUAGCAUGUGCGCGAGUCAUUGGGAAUCACUAAACCUAAAGGCGCAAUGAAAGUGAAGGUCUUCCUUGCGAAGACCGAGGGAAGACGGGCGGUUCGCCGUUAAAAGCGACCGUUCAGCAUUCCCGGGGCGUCUCGUUCUCAUCGCGAGAAGAGGCGCACCAAGAGCGUAC